rnacentral:rRNA from 1 species
UGGUGGAGUGAUUUGUCUGCUUAAUUGCGAUAACGAACGAGACCUUAACCUACUUAAUAGUUACGCCGUCCGUGAGACGGUGGGCAACUUCUUAGAGGGACUUUUGCGUGUUUUAACCAAAGGAAGUUUGAGGCAAUAACA